rnacentral:rRNA from 1 species
GGGAGGAGGGGGGGGUGGGAAUUUCCAUGUGUAGCGGGGGAAAUGCGUAGAUUAUAAGGGAAGGAACACCCAGUGGGGGAAGGCGGCCUUCCCUGGUCUUGAUACUGACCCUGAGGCUGCGAAAAGCGUGGGGAGCAAACAGGAAUUAGAUUCCCCUGGUAGUCCACCCCCGUAAACGAUGUGGACUAACCGUUGGGAUCUUUUCAGCCUUAGAGUGCGCAGCUCAACGCGAUAAAUCGUCCGCCUGGGGGGAUACGGCCGCAAGGUUUAAAACUCUAAAUGAAUUUUCGGGGGGCCCCCCCCAGCGGUGGAGCAUGUGGUUUAAUUUGAAGCAACGCGAAGAACCUUUCCUGGCUUUGACAUGCUGAGAGCUUUCCAGAGAUGGAUUGGUUCCCUUGGGGGGUCAAACACAGGUGUGGCAUGGCUGUUGUCAGCUCGUGUUGUGAGAAAUUGGGUUAAAUCCCGUCACGAGCGCAACCCCUUUCUUUAGUUUCCAGCUCAUUGGGUGGGCACUCUAAGGAGACUGCCGGUGACAAACCGGAGGAAGGUGGGGAUGACGUCAAAUCAUCAUGGCCCUUACGGCCAGGGCUACACACGUGCUACAAAUGUCGGUACAAAGGGUUGCCAAAGUCGCGAGGUGGAGCUAAUUUUCAUAAAGUUUUUCGUAGUCCGGAUCGCAGUCUGCAACUCGCCUGCGUGAAGUCGGAAUCGCUAGUAAUCGUGAAUCAGAAUGUCGCGGUGAAUACGUUCCCGGGCCUUGUACACACCGCCCGUCACACCAUGGGAGUGGGUACUCCAGAAGUAGGUAGUGUAACCGCAAGGAGCCAGCCGCCUACGGAGUAUUCAAAA